rnacentral:rRNA from 1 species
AGUGAACGCUGGCGGUAGGCCUAACACAUGCAAGUCGAACGGCAGCACAGUAAGAGCUUGCUCUUACGGGUGGCGAGUGGCGGACGGGUGAGGAAUACAUCGGAAUCUACUUUUUCGUGGGGGAUAACGUAGGGAAACUUACGCUAAUACCGCAUAUGACCUACGGGUGAAAGCAGGGGAUCUUCGGACCUUUCGCGAUUGAAUGAGCCGAUGUCGGAUUAGAUAGUUGGCGGGGUAAAGGCCCACCAAGGCAACGAUCCGUAGCUGGUCUGAGAGGAUGAUCAGCCACACUGGAACUGAGACACGGUCCAGACUCCUACGGGAGGCAGCAGUGGGGAAUAUUAGACAAUGGGCGCAAGCCUGAUCCAGCCAUACCGCGUGGGUGAAGAAGGCCUUCGGAUUGUAAAACCCUUUUGUUGGGAAAGAAAAGCAGCAGGUUAAUACCCCGAUGUUCUGACGGUACCCAAAGAAUAAGCACCGGCUAACUUCGUG